rnacentral:rRNA from 1 species
GGGUUGUGAGGUUAAGCGACUAAGCGUACACGGUGGAUGCCCUGGCAGUCAGAGGCGAUGAAGGACGUGCUAAUCUGCGAUAAGCGCCGGUAAGGUGAUAUGAACCGUUAUAACCGGCGAUUUCCGAAUGGGGAAACCCAGUGUGACUCGUCACACUAUCAUUAACUGAAUCCAUAGGUUAAUGAGGCGAACCGGGGGAACUGAAACAUCUAAGUACCCCGAGGAAAAGAAAUCAACCGAGAUUCCCCCAGUAGCGGCGAGCGAACGGGGAGGAGCCCAGAGCCUGAAUCAGCAUGUGUGUUAGUGGAAGCGUCUGGAAAGGCGCGCGAUACAGGGUGACAGCCCCGUACACAAAAGCGCAUAUGCUGUGAGCUCGAUGAGUAGGGCGGGACACGUGGUAUCCUGUCUGAAUAUGGGGGGACCAUCCUCCAAGGCUAAAUACUCCUGACUGACCGAUAGUGAACCAGUACCGUGAGGGAAAGGCGAAAAGAACCCCGGCGAGGGGAGUGAAAAAGAACCUGAAACCGUGUACGUACAAGCAGUGGGAGCCCCACCACUAAGCCAGUGGUGAACUCCACAUACGCAUCCUUUGCUGAGGAUACGGUUAACGGAGCGAAAGCGACGUUCAACCGCAAAAGAAGCAGAGGGGGCUUAGUGGUGGGGUGACUGCGUACCUUUUGUAUAAUGGGUCAGCGACUUAUAUUCUGUAGCAAGGUUAACCGAAUAGGGGAGCCGGAGGGAAACCGAGUCUUAAUUGGGCGUUAAGUUGCAGGGUAUAGACCCGAAACCCGGUGAUCUAGCCAUGGGCAGGUUGAAGGUUGGGUAACACUAACUGGAGGACCGAACCGACUAAUGUUGAAAAAUUAGCGGAUGACCUGUGGCUGGGGGUGAAAGGCCAAUCAAACCGGGAGAUAGCUGGUUCUCCCCGAAAGCUAUUUAGGUAGCGCCUCGUGAAUUCAUCUCCGGGGGUAGAGCACUGUUUCGGCUAGGGGGCCAUCCCGGCUUACCAACCCGAUGCAAACUGCGAAUACCGGAGAAUGUUAUCACGGGAGACACACGGCGGGUGCUAACGUCCGUCGUGAAGAGGGAAACAACCCAGACCGCCAGCUAAGGUCCCAAAGUCAUGGUUAAGUGGGAAACGAUGUGGGAAGGCCCAGACAGCCAGGAUGUUGGCUUAGAAGCAGCCAUCAUUUAAAGAAAGCGUAAUAGCUCACUGGUCGAGUCGGCCUGCGCGGAAGAUGUAACGGGGCUAAACCAUGCACCGAAGCUGCGGCAGCGACACUCAGGUGUUGUUGGGUAGGGGAGCGUUCUGUAAGCCUGCGAAGGUGGCCUGUGAGGGUUGCUGGAGGUAUCAGAAGUGCGAAUGCUGACAUAAGUAACGAUAAAGCGGGUGAAAAGCCCGCUCGCCGGAAGACCAAGGGUUCCUGUCCAACGUUAAUCGGGGCAGGGUGAGUCGACCCCUAAGGCGAGGCCGAAAGGCGUAGUCGAUGGGAAACGGGUUAAUAUUCCCGUACUUGGUGUUACUGCGAAGGGGGGACGGAGAAGGCUAUGUUGGCCGGGCGACGGUUGUCCCGGUUUAAGCGUGUAGGUGUGUGUUCCAGGUAAAUCCGGUUCACUUUAACACUGAGGCGUGAUGACGAGGCACUACGGUGCUGAAGCAACAAAUGCCCUGCUUCCAGGAAAAGCCUCUAAGCAUCAGGUAACAUCAAAUCGUACCCCAAACCGACACAGGUGGUCAGGUAGAGAAUACCAAGGCGCUUGAGAGAACUCGGGUGAAGGAACUAGGCAAAAUGGUGCCGUAACUUCGGGAGAAGGCACGCUGACACGUAGGUGAAGUGAUUUACUCAUGGAGCUGAAGUCAGUCGAAGAUACCAGCUGGCUGCAACUGUUUAUUAAAAACACAGCACUGUGCAAACACGAAAGUGGACGUAUACGGUGUGACGCCUGCCCGGUGCCGGAAGGUUAAUUGAUGGGGUCAGCGCAAGCGAAGCUCCUGAUCGAAGCCCCGGUAAACGGCGGCCGUAACUAUAACGGUCCUAAGGUAGCGAAAUUCCUUGUCGGGUAAGUUCCGACCUGCACGAAUGGCGUAAUGAUGGCCAGGCUGUCUCCACCCGAGACUCAGUGAAAUUGAACUCGCUGUGAAGAUGCAGUGUACCCGCGGCAAGACGGAAAGACCCCGUGAACCUUUACUAUAGCUUGACACUGAACAUUGAGCCUUGAUGUGUAGGAUAGGUGGGAGGCUUUGAAGUGUGGACGCCAGUCUGCAUGGAGCCGACCUUGAAAUACCACCCUUUAAUGUUUGAUGUUCUAACGUGGACCCGUAAUCCGGGUUGCGGACAGUGUCUGGUGGGUAGUUUGACUGGGGCGGUCUCCUCCUAAAGAGUAACGGAGGAGCACGAAGGUUGGCUAAUCCUGGUCGGACAUCAGGAGGUUAGUGCAAUGGCAUAAGCCAGCUUGACUGCGAGCGUGACGGCGCGAGCAGGUGCGAAAGCAGGUCAUAGUGAUCCGGUGGUUCUGAAUGGAAGGGCCAUCGCUCAACGGAUAAAAGGUACUCCGGGGAUAACAGGCUGAUACCGCCCAAGAGUUCAUAUCGACGGCGGUGUUUGGCACCUCGAUGUCGGCUCAUCACAUCCUGGGGCUGAAGUAGGUCCCAAGGGUAUGGCUGUUCGCCAUUUAAAGUGGUACGCGAGCUGGGUUUAGAACGUCGUGAGACAGUUCGGUCCCUAUCUGCCGUGGGCGCUGGAGAACUGAGGGGGGCUGCUCCUAGUACGAGAGGACCGGAGUGGACGCAUCACUGGUGUUCGGGUUGUCAUGCCAAUGGCACUGCCCGGUAGCUAAAUGCGGAAGAGAUAAGUGCUGAAAGCAUCUAAGCACGAAACUUGCCCCGAGAUGAGUUCUCCCUGAGACUUUAGGUCUCCUGAAGGAACGUUGAAGACGACGACGUUGAUAGGCCGGGUGUGUAAGCGCAGCGAUGCGUUGAGCUAACCGGUACUAAUGAACCGUGAGGCUUAACCUUACAACGCCGAAG